AUCUAAUUGGCAGAUAAAUGCAUUAAGCUUAAGACUUAAUUAUAAUUCAAUAGUUUUAAUAUA
rnacentral:tRNA from 1 species